UACGGAGGGUGCAAGCGUUACUCGGAAUCACUGGGCGUAAAGGGCGUGUAGGCGGGAAUGCAAGUCAGAUGUGAAAACUAUGGGCUCAACUCAUAGCCUGCAUUUGAAACUGUAUUUCUUGAGUGAUGGAGAGGCAGGCGGAAUUCCGUGUGUAGCGGUGAAAUGCGUAGAUAUACGGAGGAACACCAGUGGCGAAGGCGGCCUGCUGGACAUUAACUGACGCUGAGGCGCGAAAGCGUGGGGAGCAAACAGG
rnacentral:rRNA from 1 species